GACGUAGGGUGCGAGCGUUGUCCGGAUUUAUUGGGCGUAAAGAGCUCGUAGGCGGUCUGUCGCGUCGGAUGUGAAAACCCAGGGCUCAACCCUGGGCCUGCAUUCGAUACGGGCAGACUAGAGUUCGGUAGGGGAGACUGGAAUUUACGGUGUAGCAGUGAAAUGCGUAGAUAUCGUAAGGAACGCCAGUGGCGAAAGCGAGCUUCUAGAUAGUUACUGACGCUGAGGCACGAAAGCUGGGGGAGCAAACGGG
rnacentral:rRNA from 1 species